AUUGAACGCUGGCGGCAGGCCUAACACAUGCAAGUCGAGCGAGCGGCGGACGGGUGAGUAAUGUAUGGGGACUGCCCGAUAGAGGGGGAUAACUACUGGAAACGGUAGCUAAUACCGCAUACUAUCGGAUAACCCAUAUGGGAUUAGCUAGUAGGUGAGGUAAUGGCUCACCUAGGCGACGAUCCCUAGCUGGUCUGAGAGGAUGAUCAGCAACACUGGUACUGAGACACGGCCCAGACUCCUACGGAGGCAGCAGUGGGGAAUAUUGCACAAGGGGCGCAAGCCUGAUGCAGCCAGUCCGCGUGUAGGAAGAAGGCCCUAGGGGUGUAAAGUACUUUCAGUCGGGAGUCGUUACCGACAGAAGAAGCACCGGCUAACUCCGUGCCAGCAGCCGCGGUAAUUC
rnacentral:rRNA from 1 species